rnacentral:lncRNA from 1 species
UUUUCAUCACAUCUCAAGAAAAUGGCAUUUAGCGUUGUACAUUUGCUAAUGACCGAUGAAGUGGCUGUCGUCCAAGCAAAUGAGUGUCAGAUGAUAAAAAGGGACAUGUAACUGGCCUUCGUAUAAAGAAAGAAGUCACAUGGAAAGAGCAAUUCUGGAACACAGAGAACCAGAUACAUCCUGAGAGAAUUUUUAUAUUGUUAUCCUGGGAGAAUAUUGUGCUUUCAAAGAAAAUCGGGCCACCAGAGAGGUACCUUGCAAUAUUAUUGAACAUAUUAUAAAAGACUGGUUGAAAAGUGUUUCAUUUAGAGAAAAGUAUCAUAAAAAAAAGGAAACAGAAGGAAGUUUGUAAACAAUGGAAUAAAAAAUUUGUGUAUUAGCUUGUACGAAAAUACUGUAAUUAAAGUUAUUAAUUGUUCAGUUUGUUUCCUAACUUUCAUGAAGACUUGGAUUGGUAGAGGAUACUUAGCUUAAGCAAAUAUUGUAUCUUAUACAUUGUAUUACUGAAUAUGAAAAUAAUUAGUUCAUUGAAUUUGAAUGUUUGAUUCUAGAAGAGAAAUUUAUUACAUGAAUAUGCAAUAUGGAAAUUAAUUUCAUUACA